CUCCCUCAGCCUUACCCCAGGGCCUUUUUGCUAUAAAGUGCCCUGCCAUUGCCUGGGGGUACAUGAAAAAGCACAGAUCCCUCCCCAGGAAUACGCUGUUUUCUUGUGGGGCCUACAAAUUGAGCUGACAGC
ensembl:snoRNA SNORA49 small nucleolar RNA, H/ACA box 49